GGGGGGGGGGGGGGGGGGGGGGGGGGGGGGGGGGGGGCCCGGGGGGGAGCGCAAGAGGGGGGUGAACCCCGACCUCGGGCUGUCCCGGGCCGCCCGGCCCCGCUGCGCAUCCCCGCGCCGCGCCCGCUCCGUCCCGGGACGCCGCGGUUCCUGUCCCGCAUCCCGCGGAGAGACCGAGCGCUGCAGAAACGCAACAGUUUGUCCCGCGGGGAUGCGAGCCCCGGGGAUGUCCCGCGUGGGAACUCACCGCUCCUGGCUCCUGCCGCCGAGGCGCCUCUCACAUCUUCCCAACUCUUUGAAUUCCCCCUCUCGGGCCGGAGCCGAUGCCCAGCGCCCACCUCCUGACCAUACUGGGGCGGUACUGGCGGCGCUGGGCUCCCAGAACUUCCCGGCUGCUUUGCGCUUUGAUUUGAAGCGCGGGCGAUGCGCAAAGAACGCGACUGGCUGCGAGAGAUUUUAUUUUGUUUAUUUCUGCUCUUCCCUCCCCUCCCUCUCCCAGUUUAGCCCAGGAACUCCCGCAGCAUUGGCUAAUCCUCGAGGAGGGAUAACUGCUGAGAUCUUUAGCGAGCUCUCCGCUACCACGGAUACUUCCUAGAGCUUCAGCAGCUCUGUGAGGGAUGUGCAGCUACAAGAUGUGAAGCCUUUUAUAGGACUCUUGGACAGUUUAUAGACAGCAGCUGACACCUGUAAAAUUCACCUGGAGCUAUCCAGCAGUUUAAAACACCUCGAUGCAAUUUAUCC
rnacentral:lncRNA from 12 species